rnacentral:rRNA from 1 species
UACGUAGGGGGCAAGCGUUGUCCGGAUUUAUUGGGCGUAAAGAGCGUGUAGGCGGCCAGGUAGGUCCGUUGUGAAAACUCGAGGCUCAACCUCGAGACGUCGAUGGAAACCCUCUGGCUAGAGUCCGGAAGAGGAGAGUGGAAUUCCUGGUGUAGCGGUGAAAUGCGCAGAUAUCAGGAAGAACACCAAUGGCGAAGGCAGCUCUCUGGGACGGUACUGACGCUGAGACGCGAAAGCGUGGGGAGCGAACAGG